AUACGUAGGGGGCGAGCGUUGUCCGGAAUGAUUGGGCGUAAAGGGCGCGUAGGCGGCCUGUUAAGUCUGGAGUGAAAGUCCUGUUUUCAAGAUGGGAAUUGCUUUGGAUACUGAUGGGCUUGAGUGCAGGAGAGGUUAUCGGAAUUCCCGGUGUAGCGGUGAAAUGCGUAGAGAUCGGGAGGAACACCAGUGGCGAAGGCGGGUAACUGGACUGCAACUGACGCUGAGGCGCGAAAGUGUGGGGAGCAAACAGGAUUAGAUACCCUGGUAGUCCACACUGUAAACGAUGAAUGCUAGGCGUAAGAGGUAUCGACCCCUUUUGUGCCGGAGUUAACACAAUAAGCAUUCCGCCUGGGGAGUACGGCCGCAAGGUUGAAACUCAAAUGAAUUGACGGGG
rnacentral:rRNA from 1 species